rnacentral:rRNA from 1 species
UACGUAGGGUCCGAGCGUUGUCCGGAAUUAUUGGGCGUAAAGGGCUCGUAGGCGGUCCGUCACGUCGGGAGUGAAAACUCAGGGCUCAACCCUGAGCGUGCUUCCGAUACGGGCGGACUAGAGGUAUGCAGGGGAGAACGGAAUUCCUGGUGUAGCGGUGGAAUGCGCAGAUAUCAGGAGGAACACCGGUGGCGAAGGCGGCAUCCUGGACCGAGAUUGACGCUGAGGCGCGAAAGCCAGGGGAGCAAACGGG